rnacentral:rRNA from 1 species
GAGUGAAGCGGCAACAGCUCAAAUUUGAAAUCUGGCCCCCGGGUCCGAGUUGUAAUUUGUAGAGGAUGCUUUUGGCAAGGUGCCUUCCGAGUUCCCUGGAACGGGACGCCAUAGAGGGUGAGAGCCCCGUCUGGUCGGACACCGCGCCUCUGUAAAGCUCCUUCGACGAGUCGAGUAGUUUGGGAAUGCUGCUCUAAAUGGGAGGUAUAUGUCUUCUAAAGCUAAAUACCGGCCAGAGACCGAUAGCGCACAAGUAGAGUGAUCGAAAGAUGAAAAGCACUUUGAAAAGAGAGUUAAAAAGUACGUGAAAUUGUUGAAAGGGAAGCGAUUAUGACCAGACUUGGGCCUGUUUGAUCAGCUUGGGUUCUCCCGGGUGCACUCUCUCAGGCCUAGGCCAGCAUCAGUUCGUAGCGGGGGAAAAAUGUCGCGGGAAUGUAGCUCCCCUCGGGGAGUGUUAUAGAUCGCUUCGUAAUACCCUGCGUCGGACUGAGGUUCGCGCACUUGUGCAAGGAUGCUGGCGUAAUGGUCAUCAUCGACCCGUCUUGAAACACGGACCAAGGAGUCGUCUUCGUAUGCGAGUGUUCGGGUGUUAAACCCCUACGCGAAAUGAAA